UACGAAGGGGGCUAGCGUUGUUCGGAAUCACUGGGCGUAAAGGGCGCGUAGGCGGCUUUAUAAGUCGGGGGUGAAAGCCUGUGGCUCAACCACAGAAUUGCCUUCGAUACUGUAGAGCUUGAGACCGGAAGAGGUAAGUGGAACUGCGAGUGUAGAGGUGAAAUUCGUAGAUAUUCGGCGGAACACCAGUGGCGAAGGCGACUCACUGGCCCGAUACUGACGCUGAGGCGCGAAAGCGUGGGGAGCAAACAGGGAUUAAGAAACCCU
rnacentral:rRNA from 1 species